GAUGAACGCUGGCGGCGUGCCUAAUACAUGCAAGUCGAGCGAACAGAUGAGGAGCUUGCUCCUCUGACGUUAGCGGCGGACGGGUGAGUAACACGUGGAUAACCUACCUAUAAGACUGGGAUAACUUCGGGAAACCGGGGCUAAUACCGGAUAAUAUAUUGAACCGCAUGGUUCAAUAGUGAAAGACGGUUUUGCUGUCACUUAUAGAUGGAUCCGCGCCGCAUUAGCUAGUUGGUAAGGUAACGGCUUACCAAGGCAACGAUGCGUAGCCGACCUGAGAGGGUGAUCGGCCACACUGGAACUGAGACACGGUCCAGACUCCUACGGGAGGCAGCAAUAGGGAAUCUUCCGCAAUGGGCGAAAGCCUGACGGAGCAACGCCGCGUGAGUGAUGAAGGUCUUCGGAUCGUAAAACUCUGUUAUUAGGGAAGAACAAAUGUGUAAGUAACUAUGCACGUCUUGACGGUACCUAAUCAGAAAGCCACGGCUAACUACGUG
rnacentral:rRNA from 1 species